rnacentral:rRNA from 1 species
CCUACGGGAGGCUGCAGUGAGGAAUAUUGGUCAAUGGACGAGAGUCUGAACCAGCCAAGUAGCGUGAAGGAUGACUGCCCUAUGGGUUGUAAACUUCUUUUAUAUGGGAAUAAAAUGUUCCACGUGUGGGAUUUUGUAUGUACCAUAUGAAUAAGGAUCGGCUAACUCCGUACCAGCAGCCGCGGUAAUACGGAGGAUCCGAGCGUUAUCCGGAUUUAUUGGGUUUAAAGGGAGCGUAGGUGGAUUGUUAAGUCAGUUGUGAAAGUUUGCGGCUCAACCGUAAAAUUGCAGUUGAAACUGGCAGUCGUGAGUACAGUAGAGGUGGGCGGAAUUCGUGGUGUAGCGGUGAAAUGCUUAGAUAUCACGAAGAACUCCGAUUGCGAAGGCAGCUCACUGGACUGCAACUGACACUGAGGCUCGAAAGUGUGGGUAUCAAACAGGAUUAGAUACCCUUGUAGUC